UUUUCUGGUGGCUAUGAUGUUUAGUAUUAAGAAUGCUUAUGCAGAUUACUGGUUCCUUCUCAUGUGCCUUUGUUGGCCUAAAUUGGGUAAACUUAUUUUAUAAAUCCACACAGAUUCAAUCAAUAGUUUGAUGUCAUCCAUUCUUUAAUGGUCACAGUUGAAGCACAUUAUAUAAAAGGUUAUUUACAUUGAUAAUUUAAAGGGGCAACACACAACCUUUUUUACAUGAAUGCGCACACACUCGUUAACUUUGUCUCCCCACACACAUACACACACACAAACCGCACUGAGCUUCCUCCACAAUAGUAGCAACAUACAUUUAAAAAAAAUGAAAAACCAUCUAAAACCGUACAAACGUAGUAAAGUGCAUGUUCAACAGACCGGUAAAGACAUGUUGGGUUCAUGUCCACAGUACAGGGAGACGCUGCACUGCUCAGAGGCCCACAGACGUCUGUUUGAGACGCAGCCCUGCUAGUCCCGCCCACGCAGGGCUGUGCUAAAAGAAGACCUCCCACCCAAACCAAAGGUCCUGACUGGGGAUAAAAGACCCCAUCAACAGCAAUGAAAGACAUAUUACAACCGACCCCCCGGGGAAAAAGACAAGAAGUGACCAGGACUGCACUAAACUCCUCUCAGCACCAGCCCUGAUGAGGCCAGAUGUCUUUUAAAAGAUGGGAUACAUCUACAGUUUAAAUUCAAUCAGAGCCAUCACUGCCUUGAGAAGGCCCAGUCGGUGAGCAUCACGAGGGAGGAUGAUGUGGAACGGCUCCGGCCUCCAGGUGUCCCAUCACGAGGGAGGAUGAUGUGGAACGGCUCCCGGCCUCCAGGUGUCCCAGCGGCCCAUGAAGCUACUCAGCAGACUGGCCUCAGACCAACUGAGGUAUUGUGUCGUUGUCACAAACAAACGGCUGAUACCAA